GCAGGGGUUAGUCCCUGUGCGGGACUACAUGGCAGGCUGGCCUGAGCCUGCAGCCUGUGGCCUGAGCUGAGCUGGCCUGAGCGGGCCUGAUGAGGGCAGGCCAGGCAGGACCAGGCUGGGCCAACUGUGGCUUGAACGGUUGGAGCUGGUGGAGGGAGAUGAUCCGUCCUGGCCUCCACCGGGCCGUGCUGUUCAGAGGGGCUGUCCUCAGCCGUGUGGGACUGUGCCCGGCUGGUGGACUGAGCCGAACCUCCACCCAGAAACCAACCGUCUUCCCCUUGACCUGUUGCAAAAACACCACCGAUGUCACCGCUGUGGCGCUAGGCUGCCUGGUCACCGGCUAUUUCCCGGAGCCAGUGACCGUGACCUGGGACACAGGGUCCCUGAACAGCAGCACCAGGACCUUCCCCGCCAUCCAAAACCUGGAAUCCAGCCUCUACACCACCAGCAGCCAGGUGACCAUCUUGGGCAAGUGGUCCAAGCAGAAAUUCACCUGCAGUGUGGCUCACCCUGACUCCAACAUCACCAUCACCAAGGUCGUCCCUGGGUGCUUCAAGGACUUCCCUGAGCCCUCCGUGAAGCUCUUCCACUCCUCCUGCAACCCCGACGGCGACACCCACACCACCAUCCAGCUUCUGUGCCUCAUCUCUGGCUACAUGCCAGGCAGAAUCCAGGUCGCCUGGCUGGAGGACGGGCAGGCGGUCACAGACAGGUUCCCACAGACCGCCAAUGACAGACCAGAAGGCAAGCUGGCCUCCACCCACAGCCAGCUCAACAUCACGCAGGAGGAGUGGCUGUCCCAGAAAACCUACACCUGCCAGGUCACCUAUAACGGCUUCACCUAUGAAGACCAUGCCCGCAAGUGCACAGAGUCCGACCCCCGCGGUGUGAGCGCCUACCUGAUCCCGCCCACUCCCCUCGACCUGUACGUCCACAAGUCGCCCAAGAUCACCUGCCUGGUGGUGGACCUGGCCAGAAAGGAAGGCAUGAAUCUGACCUGGUUUAGGGAGAACAGGGGUCCUGCACAGCCAGACUCACUCGUCAUCAAGACCCAGUUCAACAAGACAGUCACUGCCACAUCCACCCUGUUGGUGGACGUCCAGGACUGGAUUGAGGGCGAGACCUACUACUGCAAAGUGACCCACCCAGACCUGCCCAGGUCAAUCCUGCGCUCCAUCUCCAAGGCCCCCGGCAAGCGUUUAGCCCCCGAGGUCUACGUGCUCUCGCCACGCAAGGAAGAGCGGGCAGCCAAGGACAAGCUCACCCUCACCUGCCUGGCCCAGAACUUCUUCCCUGAGGACAUCUCCGUGCAGUGGCUGAGGAACAAUGCCCUGAUUCAGACGGACCAGCACAGCACCACGAAGCCCCACAAGGCCAACGGCCCUUCCCCCGCCUUCUUCGUCUACAGCCGCCUGGUGGUCAGCCGGGCCGACUGGGAGCAGAAGAACAAGUUCACCUGCCGAGUGGUCCACGAGGCACUGCCCGGCUCCAGGACCCUCGAGAAAUCCGUGUCCAGUGACCUCGGUAAAUGACGCCUGCCCACCUGCCCUCCCCCGCUCCCUCCCCAGCCCCCAGGGCUCCUUCCUCCUGCGAUGGACCUUCUGUCCAUCAUCAAUAAACACUCCAGU